rnacentral:rRNA from 1 species
GAUGAACGCUGGCGGCGUGCCUAAUACAUGCAAGUCGAGCGAACGGACGAGAAGCUUGCUCCUCUGAUGUUAGCGGCGGACGGGUGAGUAACACGUGGAUAACCUACCUAUAAGACUGGGAUAACUUCGGGAAACCGGAGCUAAUACCGGAUAAUAUUUUGAACCGCAUGGUUCAAAAGUGGAAGACGGUCUUGCUGUCACUUAUAGAUGGAUCCGCGCUGCAUUAGCUAGUUGGUAAGGUAACGGCUUACCAAGGCAACGAUGCAUAGCCGACCUGAGAGGGUGAUCGGCCACACUGGAACUGAGAAUGGGUCCAGACUCCUACGGGAGGAAGCAGUAGGGAAUCUUCCGCAAUGGGCGAAAGCCUGACGGAACAACGCCGCGUGAGUGAUGAAGGUCUUAGGAUCGUAAAACUCUGUUAUUAGGGAAGAACAUAUGUGUAAGUAACUGUGCACAUCUUGACGGUACCUAAUCAGAAAGCCACGGCUAACUACGUG